rnacentral:lncRNA from 8 species
UCUGCACUGAACUAAGGUCUGAGUCCCAGUUGCAGCUCUCACUCCAUUAUUAUUUAAUUACAAAGCCAAUGUGAAAGUGCAUGUCACAGCAUUUACAGCAUGUUAAUUAACACAAUGUCAUUACUAACUACAGCAUUAUUACACAGCAACUUAAUGUGUGACCUCACUAUUUCCCUAUAUGCAUUUUUUUACAGUUUAGAUUUGGAGAUAUCAUUCGAACCAAAAUGAAGUGGAAAGAUAUGACCUAUCUGUCCGAAUACAAAAAGAGGGGGAUCCCUCCAGGAUAUCACUUUGCAAUCUGGGUUGAUAACCCACCAACGAACGUUGUGAUGUCUAAUCAAAACAAUCGCACCAUUUUUCACUUUGAUGGAUGGAGCUGUUGGAAUCUUUUUACAUUACUUUAAACCCGCUGAAUGGCCUGCUACACUGCCACCAGUUAUUGAACCAACGACUUGAGUUCUAAACCUCUCAGAUGUUCUCUCUCUCUUCCAUCCUCUCUGUCUCUGUAUGAA